GCAUUGGUGGUUUAGUGGUAGAAUUCUCACCUUCCAUGCAGGAGACCCAGGUUCAAUUCCCAGCCAAGGCU
rnacentral:tRNA from 1 species